rnacentral:rRNA from 1 species
UACAGAGGGUGCGAGCGUUAAUCGGAAUUACUGGGCGUAAAGGGUGCGUAGGUGGUUUAGUAAGUCGUUUGUGAAAUACACGGGCUCAACCUGUGUGCUGCGGACGAUACUGCUGAGCUAGAGUAGAGUAGAGGAAAGUGGAAUUUCCGGUGUAGCGGUGAAAUGCGUAGAUAUCGGAAGGAACACCAGUGGCGAAGGCGGCUUCCUGGACUCAUACUGACGCUGAGGCGCGAAAGCCAGGGGAGCGAACGGG